UAGUCUUGAAGGUGACAUCUUUGCUUUUUAACACUUUAAAGAGGUUUUUUUUUUUUUGGAGCAGAUUUACCCAAUGCAGUGCAUCAUUUGAUUUCUUGACUGCUGCUUCAGUGGGUGUUGAUCGUGGAUCCAAGGAAAAGGAAAUCCUUGACAACUUCAAUCUUUUCUCCAUUUCUCAUGAUGUUGUUUACUGGUCCAGUCAUGAGGAUUUUUGUUUUCUUUAUGUUGAGGUGUAAUCCAUGCUGAAGGCUGUGGUCUUUGAUCUUCACCAGUACUUCAAGUCCUCUUUACUUUCAGCAAGCAAGGUUGUAUCAUCUGCAUAGUGCAGGUUGUUAAUAAGUCUUCCUCCAAUCCUAAUGUCCCAUUCUUCUUCAUAUAGUCCAGCUUCUCAGAUUAUUUGCUCAUCAUUGAAUAAGUAUGAUGAAAGGAUGGAACCCUAAUGCACACCUUUCCUGAUAGAUGUCAUGAACUCCACUGCCUAUAAAUUUUAAGUGAUAAAUUAGUAAAUGGAAUCUUGUAUAAAUCAAUUUGGCAAGUUGGGGAGUUUGUCUAAUUGGAGUGUGUGUGCCCUUCUGAAAGAUGGAGAGUUUAUUCAGGGUCAGAAUAUGGUUGUAUUACGGGCCAGUACUAAGUGAUCAGCCACAAUUUUUCAGGAGAAUGUACAAAUCUGGAUUUUUGUGUGAGUGUGAAAUAUAUCAAUUUAAAUUUUUGCUACUAAUUUAAUUCUUUAAAAACAUUCUGCAAGAUUAAAAUAACAUCCAGGAACAGUGCACGACCUCUGUUCUAAGGUAUCACAAAGAUAUAUUUAAAAAAAUAAUCACUUUUUCUGAUUAUGCAGAGAAAUGGCUAUUUUAAUUCACUGUUUUGAGACUGUUUUACUUACACUCAUUUUUAUCUCCCCUUUACUUCAUGAUGAGCGUUCCCACUUUUCAAUUGAAUUGGUUAUGCUUUAUGAAACAUCACAAUGCAUUCUUACUGUGUUCUUUGCUUCUAUCCUCAAAAAUGAAUGAGAACAGAGUGAUAUCCAUGGAGCUGAACUUACCCUAUUCAAUGAAGCAAAAAGGCAAAGCAUAUCCAGCUCAAAAAAGGAGAGGAUUUCCAUGGCAUGUUAUUGCAGUAUUCCUGGGAAUCAUAUGUUUUCGUCUCCUGCUGGCAAUCACAGGUUUAGGAUACAUGUAAACACUGAAAAAAUCAAGGAAAAACUGUGAGAAUCAACUUUGUCAGAACUCUGGAAAAUAGUCAAAGAUCUACAGCAACCAAGCAAAUACUGAAUCAAGAAAAAGGCAACUUAAAAAUGGGAGGAAAAUUUUGCAGCACUUUUACUCACCCUGGUCUCACACUGCUCCCCAACGUGGCAGUG